AGUGAACGCUGGCGGUAGGCCUAACACAUGCCAGUCGAACGGCAGCACAGUAAGAGCUUGCUCUUACGGGUGGCGAGUGGCGGACGGGUGAGGAAUACAUCAGAAUCUACUUUUUCGUGGGGGAUAACGUAGGGAAACUUACACUAAUACCGCAUACGACCUACGGGUGAAAGCAGGGGAUCUUCGGACCUUGCGCGAUUGAAUGAGCCGAUGUCGGAUUAGCUAGUUGGCGGGGUAAAGGCCCACCAAGGCGACGAUCCGUAGCUGGUCUGAGAGGAUGAUCAGCCACACUGGAACUGAGACACGGUCCAGACUCCUACGGGAGGCAGCAGUGGGGAAUAUUGGACAAUGGGCGCAAGCCUGAUCCAGCCAUACCGCGUGGGUGAAGAAGGCCUUCGGGUUGUAAAGCCCUUUUGUUGGGAAAGAAAAGCAGCAGGUUAAUACCCCGCUGUUCUGACGGUACCCAAAGAAUAAGCACCGGCUAACUUCGUG
rnacentral:rRNA from 1 species